UUCCUUCUUUGCCCAGCACCCCCGCUCUGCUUCGCUCUGUUCACAGUGUUAACACGUCGAGCAAUGGCUCCCAGGAAAUGCUUGUUCGGGUGUGCCUAAAGAGGCAAGCAUCAGACUGAAGUGGUUGGAGUUGUUGAUUCCCGGCCGGCAAGAGAAAAAUGUGCUCAUCUGUCAACGGAACUUCACACGGGACUGUUUUGUGAACAUGGGCCAGUACGAAGCUGGACUAUCUGCCAAACUGGUGCUGAAGUUCAACGCCUUUCCAGCUUUACUUUGUCGACUUGAAGAGCCAGAAGAGCAAGCUGGUCGCAGGGGUCUGCUGAAGUCUAUCCCAGCUGACUUCCGGCAAGAGGCGGGGUACACCCUGGACUGGUCACGUCUGGAUGCAACUAUUUACUAAUCCGGCACAGUGUGGACACAAAUUUUUUUUGACCCACAAAAAAAAAAAUCCCAGCCCCCCACGCUCCCUCCUCCCGCCUCUGGCCCGGAUCCAGCAGUCACACUUGCCCUGUGGUUCUCCUGAUCUUCUUAUCUCCCUGCACCCUCUUGGUCCUGUCCUGCUCAGCCCUGCCCUGCCCUCUCCUGUCUUCACUGGUGACACCUUCUUAUCCGCGUCUCUCAGCACACCCACGAGCUGUUAAGCAUACAUGGAGUGAUCUCAAGGCCUAUAAUAGUAUUGAUACACACAACAGUUUGACAAGAAAAUCUGCAAACUAGCAGCUGACACGUCCCUCCUCCUCCAUCUCCCAGAAUGCAUUGCUCCAUGCAAUUUGAUCUAAACCAAAAGUCCCUUUUGCUUAUGCAUUCUCGCUCUCUCCCUCCCAUCUCUUCUAAUCCCCACUGCUUAUUCUGUGCUCAUUGACAGCCUGUUUAAAAACUACGCAGGCGAGAGGCAGCCAGUCAGCGGGAGGAGCCAUCGCCCAAGCAGAAUAGCGCUCUCUCCAUUCACCCACCACUUAAUUUUCUCUGUCUGCAAAACUUUCUCAAGAGGACAAACAUCAUGUGGUGCUGGGAAGAGGAACCCAUGUUGUGCAGUAUCUUUGUUAUAUUGCUCUUUCUUAAAUCAUGCAGUGACCUUGCUUUUGAAUGUCUUUUUUGUCCACAUAUAUUUAUGCAUAUGGAAACCAAACAUACAAUACCAGCCCCCUGCACAGGGGCAGACAGAUGUAGUGCCUCACCCCAAAAGUAGAAUGGUUAAAAUUUCACAUGUGAUAGAAAAACACAUGAGCAAGACGGAAUGGAUGAACUGAUGUCAACUUUAUACAAACAGAGGACCUCCAUCACUGUAUUAACAUUCAUGAGUCCUCAUUGAGACAUACCUGGAUGCUUCACAAUAACCAGCUUUACUUUGUGUACUUUCACACUGAUAGUUCACUUGCUCCAAAUGAAUUUCAGGGUUUGUAAAGCCACCACUUCCUGAAAUCACUCUCUUUUCUUACUGUUCACAGCAAUAUAAGCAAACGGACUACUGAGCGAAGCAGCGCAACUAAACACAAAAAGGAACAAAAUGUGCCUUUCUAGACAAAGUUAAUAAUUAUGUGGUCAGUUUACUAGGUUACAUUGCACUUUACAGGGCUCUUACGGGGUACCCUUGACUUUUACCUCUUGGGGAAAAGCAGUUGUUUUUUGUGGGCCCCCAAAAGUUGACAUACUGUAAGAAACUAUCAAUUUAAACGUUUGACAUUGCAGUUUUCGGCAUCCGAAGUCAUUUUCAGUACCCUGUGAUUGGCCUGUCAAGGGUGUAGUCUUCUCCUUGCCGACAGUCAGUUGGGGUCGGCUCCAACUGACAGAAAAUACUGUACAUGGUGGCAGAAAAUAGAUGCAUUUAUGGCACUUUGAAUACUUUUCAACAAAGUAUUUUAAAUAAAUGUUUUGUUCCAAGGGAUGUUAGGGGGGCCAUGGAGCAUACAUGUGCAUUCACCUGUACAAAGUACACAUAUUUACAUUGGAGUCAAUCAGUCAAUCAGUCACAUUUCUGAAUGUACAUUCAUCACUAAUGUUUUCAAGAGUUUUGAGGGUUCCACCCUGCAGUGCUGCAUUUUUUUCCUGAGUGUACUGCACCAACUUUUCUGCUUUUCAGGUGACCUCGGGUGUUGGAGUUCUCAGUUUUUUUGCAUUUUGAUAACAAAUCAACCCAGGCUAACUCACAUAACGAGUCUGACUUCUUUGUCCAGCAGCCAGCACUGCAGGACAGUUGCAGACCAGAUCAUUAAAAAGGUGAUUAAAGAUCUUCUGCAUGUAAACAUGUGAAGAAAAACCUCUCCUCUGAUCGUCUCUGCACUCACCAGGUUGCACUAGAUAAACGCCUUGGGGGUAUAGACACAAGACAUUUAGUCAGCUGUUUAAAGUGACACACCCACUAAAGUUUUAUGAAAUGUGUUUUCAUGUUAACAGUAAAGCGGCGACAACAACAAAAAUAUACUAUGGCAGCAUACAUACAUGCCGAGAAACGUUAUCUUUUAAAGAUCAAGUUCAAGGUUGUCGAUAAGACCAAAACUUUUUUUGUCUUUAGUAACUCAAACCAGCCGAACGGUUACGCAACCUUCGCCCGCCCUCUGCAAAGUUUUGCUGCCUGCACAA